rnacentral:hammerhead_ribozyme from 1 species
GCCCAACUGACGAGUCCCAAAUAGGAUGAAAUGCGCAUCCUGGAU